rnacentral:misc_RNA from 1 species
GGCAGCCGCCAGCCCUCCUCUCUCUUUCUUCCCAUUCUUUUCGGCGAAAGCCACCAAUUGCCGGUGGACUCUCUCUCCCUCGCGCCUCCCCCUUUGCUCUCUCUUCUCUUCUCUUCUCUCUUCUCCUCCUCCCUUCUUCUCCGUCUCCUUUCCCCGUCGCUGGCAGCGGUGCUUGGCGAAGGACAGCAACGGCAGCCAGCAGCCCCAGCACCGCCCGUCUCUCCUCUCUUCUCUCUUUCCUUCUCUCCUCUUCUCCGGCGAAUAGUGAGAAACCAGCCCCUCCAGCAGCAAAAAACAAAAGCAGCAGCAAGCUUUAGCGAAGAAAACGACCGCCAGCAACGCUGACAACGAGCAACCAGCAGCAAGAUCGACCUCCGGCGAAGGCAAAGUUCGGAUGGAUCUAUUCAGAUCCGUCUUUGGUAUUUCUUUUAUCCAUUAUUACUUCGUAUAUCCAAUUCUCUUAGUUUUG